GUCUGGAGCCAUGGUAUCCUGCACUCAGCUGUUCUAGUCUGAUAUCAGAAGCAAUGCAGAGUAGUCUCUGGUCAGUACGUGGUUGGGAGACCACCUAGGAACACCAGGUGCUGUGGGCU
rnacentral:rRNA from 1 species